CAACCCUACGGGAGGCAGCAGUGAGGAAUAUUGGUCAAUGGGCGAGAGCCUGAACCAGCCAAGUCGCGUGAAGGAUGACGGCCCUAUGGGUUGUAAACUUCUUUUGUCAGGGAGCAAUUGAGUCCACGUGUGGGCUUAGCGAGAGUACCCGAAGAAAAAGCAUCGGCUAACUCCGUGCCAGCAGCCGCGGUAAUACGGAGGAUGCGAGCGUUAUCCGGAUUUAUUGGGUUUAAAGGGUGCGCAGGCGGACCAUCAAGUCAGCGGUAAAAUCGUGGGGCCCAACCCCAUCCCGCCGUUGAAACUGG
rnacentral:rRNA from 1 species